ACGCUCGACACCUACGGAAGGCAGCAGUGAGGAAUAUUGGUCAAAGGGCGCUAGCCUGAACCAGCCAAGUAGCGUGAAGGAUGAAGGCUCUAUGGGUCGUAAACUUCUUUUAUAUAAGAAUAAAGUGCAGUAUGUAUACUGUUUUGUAUGUAUUAUAUGAAUAAGGAUCGGCUAACUCCGUGCCAACAGCCGCGGUAAUCUGAGCGGGCUGGCAAGGC
rnacentral:rRNA from 1 species